CUAUACAUGCAAGUCGAGCGAAUGGAUUAAGAGCUUGCUCUUAUGAAGUUAGCGGCGGACGGGUGAGUAACACGUGGGUAACCUGCCCAUAAGACUGGGAUAACUCCGGGAAACCGGGGCUAAUACCGGAUAACAUUUUGAACCGCAUGGUUCGAAAUUGAAAGGCGGCUUCGGCUGUCACUUAUGGAUGGACCCGCGUCGCAUUAGCUAGUUGGUGAGGUAACGGCUCACCAAGGCAACGAUGCGUAGCCGACCUGAGAGGGUGAUCGGCCACACUGGGACUGAGACACGGCCCAGACUCCUACGGGAGGCAGCAGUAGGGAAUCUUCCGCAAUGGACGAAAGUCUGACGGAGCAACGCCGCGUGAGUGAUGAAGGCUUUCGGGUCGUAAAACUCUGUUGUUAGGGAAGAACAAGUGCUAGUUGAAUAAGCUGGCACCUUGACGGUACCUAACCAGAAAGCCACGGCUAACUACGUGCCAGCAGCCGCGGUAAUACGUAGGUGGCAAGCGUUAUCCGGAAUUAUUGGGCGUAAAGCGCGCGCAGGUGGUUUCUUAAGUCUGAUGUGAAAGCCCACGGCUCAACCGUGGAGGGUCAUUGGAAACUGGGAGACUUGAGUGCAGAAGAGGAAAGUGGAAUUCCAUGUGUAGCGGUGAAAUGCGUAGAGAUAUGGAGGAACACCAGUGGCGAAGGCGACUUUCUGGUCUGUAACUGACACUGAGGCGCGAAAGCGUGGGGAGCAAACAGGAUUAGAUACC
rnacentral:rRNA from 1 species